rnacentral:rRNA from 1 species
AGUUUGAUCAUGGCUCAGAUUGAACGCUGGCGGGAUGCUUUACACAUGCAAGUCGAACGGCAGCACGGACUUCAGUCUGGUGGCGAGUGGCGAACGGGUGAGUAAUGUAUCGGAACGUGCCUAGUAGCGGGGGAUAACUACGCGAAAGCGUAGCUAAUACCGCAUACGCCCUUCGGGGGAAAGCGGGGACCUUCUUCGCCUCGCACUAUUAGAGCGGCCGAUAUCGGAUUAGCUAGUUGGUGGGGUAACGGCUCACCAAGGCGACGAUCCGUAGCUGGUUUGAGAGGACGACCAGCCACACUGGGACCGGAGACACGGCCCAGACUCCUACGGGAGGCAGCAGUGGGGGAAUUUUGGACAAUGGGGGGAAACCCUGAUCCAGCCAUCCUGCGUGCGAUGAAGGCCUUCUUCGGGUUAAAGCACUUGGCAGGAAGAAACGGCACGGAUAAUACCCCGUGCAACUGACGGUACCUGCAGAAUAAGCACCGGCUAACUACGUGCCAGCAGCCGCGGUAAUACGUAGGGUGCAAGCGUUAAUCGGAAUUACUGGGCGCAAAGCGUGCGCAGGCGGUUCGGAAAGAAAGAUGUGAAAUCCCAGAGCUUAACUUUGGAACUGCAUUUUUAACUACCGAGCUAGAGUGUGUCAGAGGGAGGUGGAAUUCGCGUGUAGCAGUGAAAUGCGUAGAUAUGCGGAGGAACACCGAUGGCGAAGGCAGCCUCCUGGGAUAACACUGACGCUCAUGCACGCAGUAUGUGGGGAGCAAACAGGAUUAGAUACCCGGUAGUCCAUUCAAACAUGUCAACUAGCUGUUGGGGCCUUCGGGCCUUGGUAGCGCAGCUAACGCGUGAAGUUGACCGCCUGGGGAGUACGGUCGCAAGAUUAAAACUCAAAGGGAAUUGACGGGGACUCAGCACAAGCGGUGGAUGAUGUGAUUAAUUCUGAUGCAACGCGAAAACCUUACCUACCCUUGACAUGUCUGGAAUCCUGAAGAGAUUUGGGAGUGCUCGCAAGAGAACCGGAACACAGGUGCUGCAUGGCUGUCGUCAGCCUGUGUCGUGAGAUGUUGGGUUAAGUCCCGCAACGAGCGCAACCCUUGUCAUUAGUUGCUACGAAAGGGCACUCUAUCGAGAUCACAGACAAACUGAGGAAGGUGGGGAUGACGUCAAGUCCUCAUGGCCCUGCGGUAGGGCCUUCACACGUCAUACAAUGGUCGGGACAGAGGUCGCCAACUCAAGGAGGGGGAGCCAAUCCCAGAAACCUGAUCGUAGUCCGGAUCGCAGUCUGCAACUCGACUGCGUGAAGUCGGAAUCGCUAGUAAUCGCGGAUCAGCAUGUCGCGGUGAAUACGUUCCGGUCUUGUACACACCGCCCGUCACACCAUGGGAGUGGGUUUACCAGAAGUAGUUAGCCUAACCGUAAGGAGGGCGAUUACCACGGUAGAUUCAUGACUGGGGUGAAGUCGUAAUGUCGCAAAU